CUACUAUGAUGAAAGUUCUUUUUAAAUUUAAGCAAAUUCCGGGGUAGCUCAGCGGUAGAGCGGUCGCCUGUGUGACAAAAAAUAUUACGCAGCUUCCUAUCAAAAGGUAGGUUGAAAAACAAGGUGAAUUCGGGGAAGCCCUAACGGGGUAAUCCCGAGCCAAGCCCUAAAAUUUUUUAGGGAAGGUGUAGAGACUAUCUCUUUAUGAGAGUAGUACGAUAAAAGUCGGGCGAAGCGCCUUGCUCCUAAAUUCUUUUUUAAGAACAUGGAGAUGAUAUAGUCCACACUCUUAGUAAUAAGAGA
rnacentral:ncRNA from 1 species